CAGCCUUGAUGACCAUCAGCUUAUUUUCUGUGUGACUUUCUCAACUAAUGGCCAACAUUGAGCAGUAGUCAAUUUUUUUGAAUCCAGAGGCAUCCCUAGAUAUUUAAAGGGAAGUCUGCCUUCAGGGAAACCAAGUUCCUGUAAGAUCUCCUCCUUCUGCCAUUUUGAUACACCUGCUAUGUACACAGCACUUUUGUCAGCAUUUGCUUGAAGUCUAGAAGCUUUGGAGAAGUUCUGGAAAGCC
rnacentral:lncRNA from 1 species